GUCAGGCUUACUACGGGUUUCGGUGGCCUUAAGCCUACCCAUUCCCUAGUGCCGGAGUGGGGUCGUGACAUUAAGGUGAUGGGACGUUGCUCCGGCCCAGUAGGCCGGCCUUGGUGUGGCUGUGCCCUUGCUCGCUCGUUCCAAGCUGAGAGUUAAGCUAUGUGGCCUUGAGCGAAAGCUGGGGCCACUUGGUUCCUAGAGCGGAGGGCACAGCGUGAGGCUGGUUUCACAGAGCAGCGACAACCUCCUGCUCUUGGCAGUGGAAGGAUAACGAGUUGGUAUCGCCCAAGUCCAUAUGGUCUAAUGGGCCGUGCUAACUGGACCAUCAUUUUU
rnacentral:SRP_RNA from 1 species